rnacentral:rRNA from 1 species
UACGGAGGGGGCUAGCGUUGUUCGGAAUUACUGGGCGUAAAGCGCACGUAGGCGGCUUUUUAAGUCAGAGGUGAAAUCCCGGGGCUCAACCUCGGAACUGCCUUUGAUACUGCAAAUCUCGAGUCCGGAAGAGGUGAGUGGAAUUCCUAGUGUAGAGGUGAAAUUCGUAGAUAUUAGGAAGAACACCAGUGGCGAAGGCGGCUCACUGGUCCGGUACUGACGCUGAGGUGCGAAAGCGUGGGGAGCAAACAGG